rnacentral:rRNA from 1 species
AUUGAACGCUGGCGGCAGGCCUAACACAUGCAAGUCGAACGAGUGGCGGACGGGUGAGUAAUGUAUGGGAAACUGCCUGAUGGAGGGGGAUAACGACUGGAAACGGUCGCUAAUACCGCAUACCAUCAGAUGGGCCAAGAUGGGAUUAGCUUGUUGGUGGGGUAACGGCUCACCAAGGCGACGAUCCCUAGCUGGUCUGAGAUGAUGACCAGCCACACUGGAACUGAGACACGGUCCAGACUCCUACGGGAGGCAGCAGUGGGGAAUAUUGCACAAUGGGCGCAAGCCUGAUGCAGCCAUGCCGCGUGGAUGAAGAAGGCCUUCGGGUUGUAAAGUACUUUCAGCGGGGAGGCGUUACCCGCAGAAGAAGCACCGGCUAACUCCGUGCCAGCAGCCGCGGUAAUUC